UACGGGGGGAGCAAGCGUUGUUCGGAUUCAUUGGGCGUAAAGGGUGUGUAGGUGGCGCGCUAAGUCGGGUGUGAAAUUUCGGAGCUUAACUCCGAAACUGCAUUCGAUACUGGCGUGCUUGAGGACUGGAGAGGAGACUGGAAUUCAUGGUGCAGCAGUGAAAUGCGUAGAGAUCAUGAGGAAGACCAGUGGCGAAGGCGGGUCUCUGGACAGUUCCUGACACUGAGACACGAAGGCCAGGGGAGCAAACGGG
rnacentral:rRNA from 1 species